UGAGUGUGUGUGUGUGUGUGUGUGUGUGUGUGUGUGUGUGUGUGUGUGUGUGUGUGUGUGUGUGUGUGUGUGGUAAAAACUGAAUGAGCUGCUACUGAUGGGUUGAAUCCUAUUGAAAGAAAGCAGAACAAGAGGUGGAAGUGUAUGUGUUUGUUAUGGAUCUGCUGUUUUCAGGUUUUGAGUUGGUCUUCAUCAUCAUUGCAUUUACUAUCAUGUGCUUAUUUGGCCUGGCUGCUAUUUGCACACACAAUACAGAUCAUCAAGAUGACUACAUUCAAACAGAACAGAAGAUGAUGCGACAAAAGAACACCUCAAAGAAAAAACAGAGAGUCAUCACCAAAACCAAUCAAGAGCUUCCAUGAACACAAACAAACACAAAUACAGUUUCCUUCCACUGGUGCUCAACGGAUAGAAAGGACUGGCUCACCAAAUGCAGAUAACCAGCGGACAAACUGAAGAUUUCUGACACUGCUGUCGACUUCAUAUAUCCUUAGAGCCUCAAGCCAGCUGAUUGGCUUGAAUGUAUGACCCCAAUAAGUAAUUAAACAGUAAAGAAAGAUAAAGACGAUUUAUUGAAAUCGAAUCCCCUCCACUUUCUUUACCUAAAUCUGCUUAUCACUUGUAAUACAAUGAUUUAAACCCUGUCUGGAGGAGCCUUCUUUUUUUU